CUCAGUGUCUUUAUUGACAAACCUAUCUCAGUGUCAGAAUACAAACAUGAGGCAUCAUCUGUUUUACAGAGAGUGUGACACUCCAACUGUGACCGACUUUUGAUAUGUUUAAUUCAGGAUGUCAAACUCCACUUUAAAGCUGCACUUCCACCUGGCAGAGUUUGGCACCAUUUAGUGCCGUAAAAUGCAGAGCUACAACUUGGCACACCUCGCUUGAUUUUCCCAAUCAGCUCUUGGCUGACUGGGUUUGACGCAGAUUCAUCCCGAGCAGGCAUACCGCUCAGAACAAGUCGGCAAAAGUCUAGUCGAGAUCAGGAGAAUUCCAAACAAAUUCAAAACCGGCAAGAAUUUAACUUUCCUAACUUCACUGGGUCGGCAUGCUGAUCAGCAAGAUCAGUAAAACUCAAAACGAUGACUCUAAGACACUAAAAUCACUCCUCGUGCCAGAAAUCCCACUGAGAGCUCGCACACAAAGUGUGCAUUCAUUUUGAUGAUGCUGAAAUG